rnacentral:rRNA from 1 species
AUUGAACGCUGGCGGCAUGCCUUACACAUGCAAGUCGAACGGCAGCACGGGAGCUUGCUCCUGGUGGCGAGUGGCGAACGGGUGAGUAAUACAUCGGAACGUACCCUGAAGUGGGGGAUAACGUAGCGAAAGUUACGCUAAUACCGCAUAUUCUGUGAGCAGGAAAGAGGGGGAUCGCAAGACCUCUUGCUUUAGGAGCGGCCGAUGUCGGAUUAGCUAGUUGGUGAGGUAAAGGCUCACCAAGGCGACGAUCCGUAGCGGGUCUGAGAGGAUGAUCCGCCACACUGGGACUGAGACACGGCCCAGACUCCUACGGGAGGCAGCAGUGGGGAAUUUUGG